AAUAAAAAUCACACUCUUUGAGUGCGCAGCUCAGCAUCGCAUCAUCACCUUUGUCUCCCUCCCUUUCUUCCUUUUACGACCCCGUUAAAAAUACCCAGCCCAGCCCCAAUGCCUCUGUCAACAUCCGCCGUUGUUGCACGCGCCGAGAAGGACGAUGAAAGACGCGCCACCUCGACCACCGAGCGAGAAAUCAACAGCUCCGAUAUGGAAAUCGACGACAACGACGACGAUGAAGAAGAAGGGGAUUUGCAAGGGUCUUCGAAUCGAAACGAUGCUAGUAAUAUUAUGGAGUCCAAGGGGCAUAAUGGAUGCCUAGAAUCAGGUUCUUUUAGUCCUGGAAAGUCUGAAACAAGGGUACCAUCUAAAAGCCUUGCCUUUUCAAGUCUUCUAAAUGAGCCAUUGAAGACUCAAAAGGAGGAUAUAUGCGCGAACUAUGAGGAUUCCAAGUAUCCAAUAUCUGGAAAACAGCCUGCAAAAGAAAAGGCAACUCAACAGGAUGUGGUUAGUGAAAAAGAUGCUCGAGUCAUCUUACAAAGAAAAGCCCCUGAAGACCACUGUGAACAGCAAAGUAAUAGCAAGAGUCAUUCGGUUAUCAGUGAGAUACAUUCCAGUGUUGCUGGCAAAGAGGUAGUCAUUACAAUCCCGGUCAGAUAUCACUCAGGAGGAGUUAAUGAUGUUAAAGGUUUUAAGGAAAAAAGUAAGCAAAUGAACUUGCAAUCAGAUGAUGAUAAGAGGAGGAUUAAAUCAAGGUUUUACAGAUCCGCUGCUCCUCAGACUAGUACUGGAAGUCUGUCCCCUGGUGCUGAGUUGGAUAGUGGGAGCAAACGCCCUGCACUUAUCUGUGACUUUUUUGCUAGAGGGUGGUGUAUCAAAGGAAGUUCAUGUAGAUUUCUUCACAUAAAAGAUAGUGGGAAUAAUCCUAGACAACAGCCUGAGGUAGAUGUAGCUACAGCAGAUGCGAAAGGAGCUGUUCAGCUUGAUGAAGGUUUUGAUAAUGCUGCUGAAAGAUCCAGCUCACCUGGUUCUACUGAUACACUGCCUUCAUCAGUUAAAAAUAAGACUGCAUUGUCUUCUCAUUUCUUUUCAGAAAGAGUCCUGCCAUCCGGACAUGAUGAAAACCAAAGGUUGCAUCCAUUUCAUGAAAUUAAUAAGUUCCCUUUACUCCAGAGUAAGGAUAAAUUAAUGGGCACUUCCCCUGCCUCUCAGCAAUUUUCUGCAUCCAUAGAUGAUUUGGGACCAUCUAAGGAUGUAAGACAAAAUAGUAUAGGUCAGAAUUUGCCUGCUGAUAGUUAUACCAAGCCUGCUUCACUGAGUGACAGAGGUAGUUCUACCUUCAGAAAUAGUUUUCUUCCUGAGUAUAGAUCUUCAUUAAGUGGCUCAGUUACAUCAUUGGGCAAUACAUAUAGUGAAAAUCGAUCUUAUCGUGUCUCAACAUGGAUGGGAUCAUUUCCUUUUGGUUCUUCUUUGAGUGCAUGCUCUUUGGGUGCUCAAAAGGUGCUGGACGGUGACAGAGAGCAUCAUACUUCCAGACUGUCUUCUUUGCUGCAAAGCUCUUCUCCCUUCUCCAGGUCUGAACCAGACAACUUUCCUCUGAAUGAUAUUGCCAGGGAUCCGUUGCACGUUACUGAUUUUAGAAUAAAAAUUUCUUCAGAUGAUUGGGAACCAUCAGUACCUUUUCGACCAUCCUUUUUUGUCACUUCUAGCAUAUCACCCCCACGAGGCCAGUACAAUCCUCUUUGUGAUAGCAUUGAUAUGUCCAAUGCAGGAAAGAGGUCUCUUAAAUUUUCUUUCUCUAGUCAAGGUCCAUCCCUCCUGAAUGUAGCAUAUCCACCAACAUAUGGUGAUUCUACAUCAACAGGGCCAGUGGUCACUGAAUGUAAUGGUGAUAAAAAAAUUGCAUCUUGUCAUAAUAGAUACCCUGAAAGUUUGUUCAACAACAAUUGCCACAACUCUGGAAAAGAUUCGCUCACAACUGAUGCAAAUGAUGGGACUUCUGCAGCUGACAUGCAAAAUGGAACACUGGUUAAAGAAGAGAUUUCCUCAGUUGCCUCUCAUGUCAAAGACAUUUCAAAGGCAAAUAAAAUUGAUACUGAUCUUGAUGGUAGACAUCAAAGAGAUGGGUCUAGAUGCAAAAAAGACUUAAAAGUAGACAGGGUUAGAGAAAAGAAUGAAAUAGAGGUUGAGCAUAAGGCAGAUGGGGAUCCACAGAAAGAGUCAAAAGCAAUGAAGCAUUUCCGUGCUGCUCUUGUAGAUUUAAUUAAAGAACUGUUGAAACCAACUUGGCGUGAGGGUCAUCUCAAUAGAGAUGCUCAUAACACAAUAGUCAAAAAAGCAGUUGACAAGGUUCUUGGCACUGUACAACCUCAUCAAAUUCCAAUCACCUUUGAAUCAGUUAAGCAGUAUCUUUCUUCAUCCCAACCAAAAAUAGCAAAGCUUGUUCAGGGAUAUGUUGAUAAAUACAGCAAAUCUUGAGAUGCUAGGCAGAAUGCUUAUGUAUUUGUACAUAAAUACGAUUUCUGUUUUUACUGAUGAUAUGUGCAUAUUGCUUCUCUACAUUGUUGCCACACUUGUAGAAGGAGAUCUACUGAGAUAGUGGCAGGAGAUGACUAUCAGAGAUUACCAUGUCAGGAUGGGAAUUUUUCAAGUUGUGAGGACUUGUACCCGAAACAAACUCAAACUCUUGGUCAUCUUUGUUGUUCUGGUACGCUCUGUUGGGAGGAGACUUAGAUUGCUGAUCUUGAAUACAAACAAGGCCAGAAAAGGAGAGAGAGUUAAGCGAACUGCUAUCAGCUGCAACAUCCAUGGAAAUCUUGUUUUGCAUGUGGGUUCCCAUUGAUUUUGUUGUCAAUACGUCUCAGGGUGUCCAAAGCUUAUAUACACAGGAUUAGCAGUUCUGAUAAAAGCAGACAAAGUGUGCAUUGUUUCAUCAGUUAAAACUUGAGGGAAUCGAUCGGCUGCGAAGGGUAAGGCAAUACGAUCUUUCUAAGGCAGGGUACUGCAUCCAUACAUGCGAGUGCAGCCUCUGUUAUAUUUUGUUGGGUGGAUUUACCAAUGAAGCAGGUGAAGUAAAAUAAUGAACCUAUGUCUCUUGUUCUUAGAUCUUAAUGAAUUGUAAACGAUUCUGUUCUGAUGUUUUUUGAUUGGGAGACAUUCUUUCGCUGCUGGUACCAACGAGGAAAACAUAUCGAUUGCUUUCAAAUGACGACCUUCGAAAUGAUAAAAGAGCGGUGAGCUGUUUUUGUUUAUUAAUAUAUGCCAAACGUCAUUGUCUUAAUGACCUAUGCCAUAUGUGAUUGGUUGCUUUUCCAACCAUGGUUGGAUUCUCCAACAGAUUGAGAAAUGAUAAAUUCGAUCCGAACAGGCGGAAACCCUGUUCUAUUUUGAUGGCA